GGAGCUUGCUCCUUUGACGUUAGCGGCGGACGGGUGAGUAACACGUGGGUAACCUACCUAUAAGACUGGGAUAACUUCGGGAAACCGGAGCUAAUACCGGAUAAUAUUUCGAACCGCAGGGUUCGAUAGUGAAAGAUGGUUUUGCUAUCACUUAUAGAUGGACCCGCGCCGUAUUAGCUAGUUGGUAAGGUAACGGCUUACCAAGGCGACGAUACGUAGCCGACCUGAGAGGGUGAUCGGCCACACUGGAACUGAGACACGGUCCAGACUCCUACGGGAGGCAGCAGUAGGGAAUCUUCCGCAAUGGGCGAAAGCCUGACGGAGCAACGCCGCGUGAGUGAUGAAGGUCUUCGGAUCGUAAAACUCUGUUAUUAGGGAAGAACAUACGUGUAAGUAACUAUGCACGUCUUGACGGUACCUAAUCAGAAAGCCACGGCUAACUACGUGCCAGCAGCCGCGGUAAUACGUAGGUGGCAAGCGUUAUCCGGAAUUAUUGGGCGUAAAGCGCGCGUAGGCGGUUUUUUAAGUCUGAUGUGAAAGCCCACGGCUCAACCGUGGAGGGUCAUUGGAAACUGGAAAACUUGAGUGCAGAAGAGGAAAGUGGAAUUCCAUGUGUAGCGGUGAAAUGCGCAGAGAUAUGGAGGAACACCAGUGGCGAAGGCGACUUUCUGGUCUGUAACUGACGCUGAUGUGCGAAAGCGUGGGGAUCAAACAGGAUUAGAUACCCUGGUAGUCCACGCCGUAAACGAUGAGUGCUAAGUGUUAGGGGGUUUCCGCCCCUUAGUGCUGCAGCUAACGCAUUAAGCACUCCGCCUGGGGAGUACGACCGCAAGGUUGAAACUCAAAGGAAUUGAC
rnacentral:rRNA from 1 species